AGCUUUGAGUAGUAUCAUAAACAAUCAGGUUUAUCUGAGGUGCAAUUACUGCUAGUUGAAAACUACCCCAAUACCUCACCAUGACUUGAAAUACAGACAAAAUUGGAAAAGUGGAAAUUUUUGAUAGUCUUUUUGACAGGG